rnacentral:rRNA from 1 species
UACGAAGGGUGCAAGCGUUAAUCGGAAUUACUGGGCGUAAAGGGUGCGUAGGCGGUUGUUUAAGUCUGUCGUGAAAUCCCCGGGCUCAACCUGGGAAUGGCGAUGGAUACUGGGCAGCUAGAGUGUGUCAGAGGAUGGUGGAAUUCCCGGUGUAGCGGUGAAAUGCGUAGAGAUCGGGAGGAACAUCAGUGGCGAAGGCGGCCAUCUGGGACAACACUGACGCUGAAGCACGAAAGCGUUGGGAGCAAACAGG